UUGGCUGACCUGUGGGGGCUGCACCACCGGAGGUGUCGUCUCCUUUCUCAUAAAGGAGAGCAAACCAUAAGAGUUGUACGUAUCCAGCAAGGCUGCACUUGUACUCCAGAAAGCACCGGCAGACUGCCAAAUGACUUGGUUGCAUUGCAUUGGAAAAGCCUGGCUAAUCGCUCCGAGACCUGUCCGGGAAAGCAACCACGGGAAGGAAGUUAAGCACAUGCUUAAAGUAACGACAAUGAGGAAUGUUCGCCACAAACUGACAGCACAUACAUAGCUCCGUCCUGAGGGCAGGAAGAAGAAAUACCAGUGGAAACGACUCAUCCCAGAGUAGGGAAUGAUGAGAAAUGAUAAAGAAAGUGACAGAAGAACCAUUGGAUUCUUUAGCAGAGUAUCAUAGUGCCAUGGACCAUCCCCACUCUGUUAAGCACUGUACAACCAGAGCACAGAAAAGAUUAUCCUGCCCCAAAGAGCUGCCAAUCUAAGACAAGAGACAACAGAUGGACACAGACAAGUGAGAGAGAACUAGGAAACAAUGAGACAAUGUAGCUCAGCAGGAUGGACAGGGAUCUCAGCCCACCUGCAGUCUAAUCACUGUCAAGUUUUUUUUAGCAUCACAUUAAAGGAGAGUUUGAAGGAGGAAGUUUUGUGGAUGUUAAUGCAGAGUUUCCUCCAGGCAAGAAGGGGCCUGAGGGUAGUCUAGACCUGGACACUGAAACGUCAGCCACUGGAAAUGUGCAGAAGUCGCAGAAUAGGGACAGAACUAGGAAGUUACAGUUGGGCUGAAGAUCAAGAGGAGCAGACGCCCAACAUUGGGGGACUUUUUUUUCUUUGAAACAGCUGCUGAGAAGAAACCAUCAAUGCACUUUGCCUUGACUUUAGGGAAGCAAUAGAUAAAAUAUGGUAUGAAACCCUAAUCUCAAGAGCCAGGGAGUUUGGUGUGGGGUGGACCUGGAGCAACCUUGGGCACAGAAGACCUGUGAGUGGAAAUAGAAUGAAUGGGAGGUAAUUAGCAGUAUUAUGGCCCAGUAACUUGCAAGCUAGCGUAUGAAGGGGUGACCAAAUGCACCCUUGUAUGCACAUCCUCCACACCAUUGUAAUAAUCUUUGUACAAGAUGUCCCUUGUUAAGGUAUCAUGUGAAAACUAAUAACUCACUGGUCAGUAAUAUGAUGAAAUGUAUGCAGCAACAUUAUAUGUAAAGUUAUGAAUUCCCCUGACCGAUGUUGGUGGCAUAUAUUCAAACCCAUGUUAAACAAAAGUGUGUGUGUUUACUUACCUCAAGUUACAUAUAGGUUGUAAACCGAGUCCUCAGACAGCAAAAGGGGGAAGAUGGGAGACAAGGAAAAUGUGCAUUUCAGCAAACAGAGGUGAGAAGAAACAGCGUACAGCCUCUUUCGCUACCAGACCCCAUGUCUCCGUCCUCAUAGCUGGAAGGACCUUUCUCUAGGUAUGACCCUCAGGGAAAUGCAUUUCAAAAGGUGACUGAACUGUAAAAGAAAGGGGCAAAAACAUGGUCUCUCCCUCUCCAUCGCUCUCUUUGUCACCUAAGAGGACAAAAGAAACAGCCAUUGGACUUUGGGAACACGUCUUGGCCUAAGAGUUUGGUCAGCCAUGUUACUGGAACCUUCUGGUAAGGGACUUCCUUGAACCAAGUCUAGUUU